CAACAGGGAUUACCUCAGUAACGGCGAGUGAAGCGGUAAUAGCUCAAAUUUGAAAUCUGGCUCUCGGGCCCGAGUUGUAAUUUGUAGAAGAUGCUUUGGGUGUGGCUCCGGUCUAAGUUCCUUGGAACAGGACGUCAUAGAGGGUGAGAAUCCCGUACGUGACUGGUCGCCUUUGCCCGUGUAAAGCUCUUUCGACGAGUCGAGUUGUUUGGGAAUGCAGCUCAAAAUGGGUGGUAUAUUUCAUCUAAAGCUAAAUAUUGGCCAGAGACCGAUAGCGCACAAGUAGAGUGAUCGAAAGAUGAAAAGCACUUUGGAAAGAGAGUUAAACAGUACGUGAAAUUGUUGAAAGGGAAGCGCUUGCAACCAGACUUGCAGGCUGCUGAUCAUCCGGGGUUCUCCCCGGUGCACUCGGCAGUUUUCAGGCCAGCAUCGGUUUGGGUGGUGGGAUAAAGGCCUUGGGAAUGUGGCUCUCUUCGGGGAGUGUUAUAGCCCAAGGUGCAAUGCCGCCUACCUGGACCGAGGACCGCGCUUCGGCUAGGAUGCUGGCGUAAUGGUUGUAAGCGACCCGUCUUGAAACACGGACCAAGGAGUCUAACAUCUAUGCGAGUGUUUGGGUGUCAAACCCAUGCGCGUAAUUAACGUGAACGGAGGUAAGAACCCUUAAGGGUGCAUUAUCGACCGAUCCUGAUGUCUUCGGAUGGAUUUGAGUAAGAGCAUAGCUGUUGGGACCCGAAAGAUGGUGAACUAUGCCUGAAUAGGGUGAAGCCAGAGGAAACUCUGGUGGAGGCUCGCAGCGGUUCUGACGUGCAAAUCGAUCGUCAAAUUUGGGUAUAGGGGCGAAAGACUAAUCGAACCAU
rnacentral:rRNA from 1 species